rnacentral:lncRNA from 1 species
CCACCGCAGGGCCUUUACACUUGCUGCAUCUCUAUUGUCCUUACCUAGGGUAAUUUUUCUCUAGAGCACAGGCCUCAUGGAACAUACUCCAGGCGCUGCAGGUGAUUCAACCGCCUCUUUUGUGCAGGAUGACCGCCAGUCUGGGUUUCUGGGGCCAGGUACCCUCGGGAGACACUGUUGGCCCUACCAUGUUCCACGCCGGCGCACUGUCCACUUGUUCAGUGUGCCUUGUCGAGUCUGCCAGGCCCACCUGAACAAUGCAGCCCACUCCCUGUGGGCCGGCUGCUCCUGCUUGCUGGCUGAGGCCCUCCCUAGGUUGAUGCCACCUCCAUGCCAGUCACCAGCGUUAUUAUCAUCAGGUCCAUGCUCAUCUUUGA